UUUAAUAAAGUCUUGAAAAUA
rnacentral:piRNA from 1 species